rnacentral:lncRNA from 1 species
GAAUUUUACUGUUGCUGUCCACACGCACUCUCCCUUAGCAUUUGGUCCAUCAACCGGACUCACCAUGCCUCCAUGUUCGGUUAAAUACACAGAGCUUGUAAAACAUGAUUUUGGCGAUCGGACGUGCUCGGUCCCCGUGACCGGACUCGCCUUAGCGUCUGGUCUGCAUUAGCUCACGUUGCUAGUUAGGCCUUGUUUAGAUCUAAAUUUUUUUUGAAUUUUGAUACUGUAGGACUUUCAUUUUUAUUUGACAAAUAUUGUCCAAUCAUAGAGUAAGUAGGC